GGAUUAAUUUAUCGGUCGUGCUUUUGUACGUACUGGUAUUAUUGAUUCCUACCUUCUGACGAACCAUGAUGUCAUUAAUUUGGUGUCUUGGGGAAUCAGGACUGUUACUUUGAAAAAAUUAGAGUGUUUAAAGCAGGCUCACGCUUGAAUACAUUAGCAUGGAAUAACGAAAUAGGACGUUUGAUUCUAUUUUGUUGGUUUCUAGGAUCGACGUAAUGAUUAAUA
rnacentral:rRNA from 1 species